rnacentral:lncRNA from 10 species
GGAGCUUACCCCAGGAGCAGUGAGGUGUCUGGAAGGUUUCAUACGGGAAGUGACAUGUUAAGAUCUGGAUCUUAAAGAACUUGGGGUUCCCGAAGAAGCUCGGUGCCAUCAACAGGAAAGGAUGAGACUUUGGAUUCCAGAAGAACACUGCUGGGGCUUCCCCCCGAGUCUGCCACUUGCUGUCGUGCAGGCGGAGUGGAGAGUGACACGGCCACGUAAUUGGUUGAAAAUUUGAACGGCAUGCUCUUGUACCUGGGAGGGCGUUCCAAAGGCUAUGAAAACAUUGGGAACAGACUCAACCACUUCAAAGGCACAGGUGGCUGGUGAAUGGAACCCUUUGCUGCCUGCUGGUUCCCAAUUUUGAAUGUAUCUUUUUGUUUAAAAUGUCUUUGUUACAAACCAAACGUUACAAGAAUUGUAGGGGAAAUGAAUUAAAAGUAGAAACAAUA